UACGUAGGGUGCAAGCGUUAAUCGGAAUUACUGGGCGUAAAGCGUGCGCAGGCGGUUUUGUAAGCCAGAUGUGAAAUCCCCCGGGCUCAACCUGGGAAUGGCAUUUGGGACUGCAAGGCUCGAGUUUGGCAGAGGAGACUGGAAUUCCUGGUGUAGCAGUGAAAUGCGUAGAUAUCAGGAGGAAUACCGAUGGCGAAGGCAGGUCUCUGGGCUGAAACUGACGCUCAUGCACGAAAGCGUGGGGGAGCAAACAGGG
rnacentral:rRNA from 1 species